AUGAUAGCCUACCUGAACCUAUCACGCAAUUCUUUUGAUAAUUCGAUUCCUCAUUCUUUUGACAAGCUAGAAAGCAUGGAAACUUUGGACCUAUCCCAUAAUGAUCUAUUUGGUACCAUCCCAGAGUAUCUUACCAAUUUUACCUACCUAACUAGCUUGAACCUCUCUUUCAAUAAGCUACAAGGCCGCAUACCAGAAGGAGGUGUCUUCUCAAACAUCAGCCUACAAUCCUUGAUGGGGAACUCGGGCCUAUGUGGUGCUUCAGCUUUAGGAUUUUCACAGUGUCCAAGUAACACUACCCAAAGAACAAAAGACCACAUGUUGAAAAUUUUGCUCCCUACUAUCAUCGUAGUAACCGGAGUUGUAUCUUCAUGCAUAUAUGUAAUAAUCCGAAAGAAAAUCAAGAAGCAGCAAGGGAUGGCAGUUUCUACAGGUAUGGUUGACAUGAUCGGCCAUCAGUUGGUUUCCUACCAUGACCUCGUUCAUGCCACUGAAAAUUUUAGUGACAGCAACUUGUUGGGGUCUGGAAGCUUUGGAAAAGUUUUUAAGGGCCAACUACGCAAUGGUGUGGUGGUUGCAAUAAAAGUUCUUGACAUGCAUUUGGAACAAGCCAUUAGAAGCUUCGAUGCCGAGUGUUGUGUGCUACGCAUGGCGCGGCACCACAAUCUGAUAAGGAUCCUCAACACCUGCUCGAACCUUGAUUUCAGAGCACUGGUGCUGCCAUACAUGUGCAAUGGUAGCUUAGAGACGCUCCUUCACUCCUCUGGAGCCACAAGGAACUUGGGGUUUCUAGAGAGGUUGGACAUCAUGAUCGAUGUGUCCAUGGCAAUGGAGUAUCUACACCAUGAGCAUCGUGAGGUAGUCUUGCACUGUGACUUGAAGCCAAGCAAUGUGUUGUUCGAUGAUGACAUGACAGCACAUGUCGCGGACUUUGGCAUCGCAAGGGUGUUACUUGGUGAUGAUAACUCCGUGAUUUACUCGAGCAUGCCUGGCACAGUUGGCUACAUGGCCCCAGAGUAUGGGUCCCUUGGAAAAGCUUCGAGAAAGAGCGACAUAUUCAGCUACGGAAUCAUGUUCCUUGAAGUCUUGACUGGAAAGAGACCCACGGAUGACUUUUUUGUUGGAGAUCGUAGUCUCAGGCGGUGGGUGCUCGAGGCGUUUCCUAGGGAGGUUGUCCAUGUCGUGGAUGACCAGCUAAUACAUGACUCUUCUUCCACUGUCAGCUUGAAGGCUUUCUUGUGCCGAUGUUUGAGCUGGGCCUACUCUGCUCCAGCGACUCGCUUGACCAGAGAAUAA
rnacentral:rRNA from 1 species